AGAGACAGCAGCGGCGGGAAUACAGAGGGUGCGAGCGUUAAUCGGAUUUACUGGGCGUAAAGCGUGCGUAGGCGGCUUCUUAAGUCGGAUGUGAAAUCCCUGAGCUUAACUUAGGAAUUGCAUUCGAUACUGGGAAGCUAGAGUAUGGGAGAGGAUGGUAGAAUUCCAGGUGUAGCGGUGAAAUGCGUAGAGAUCUGGAGGAAUACCGAUGGCGAAGGCAGCCAUCUGGCCUAAUACUGACGCUGAGGUACGAAAGCAUGGGGAGCAAACAGGAUUAGAUACCCCCGUAGUCCCUGUCUCUUAUACACA
rnacentral:rRNA from 1 species